GACGAACGCUGGCGGCGUGCCUAAUACAUGCAAGUCGAACGCAGUGGGGACGGGUGAGUAACACGUGGGUAACCUCCCAUCAGAGGGGAUAACACUUGGAAACAGGUGCUAAACCGAUACUGAUGGAUGGACCCGCGGUGCAUUAGCUAGUUGGUGAGGUAACGACUCACCAAGGCAACGAUGCAUAGCCGACCUGGGAGGGUGAGCGACCACACUGAGACUGAUAAACGGCCAAGACUCCGACGGGAGGCAGCAGUAGGGAAGUUGCGGCAAUGGACGAAAGUCUGACCAAGCAAGGCCGCGUGAGAGAAGAAGGUUUUCGGAUCGUAAAACUCUGUUGUUAGAGAAGAGGUAUCUAAACAGAAAGCCACGGCUAACUACGUGCCAGCCGCCGCGGUAAUGC
rnacentral:rRNA from 1 species